CAACCCUCCUCUUCUUGGCUCAUGGAAGGCUUAUAAUUUUAUGGUAUUAAAUGUUGCGCAAUAUUGGAAGUGAAAAUAAAGCCAACUAAAGUUGUUAAGCUAAUGUGAGGCCUUAUGCUAAGCAGAUGGAAAGAUCCAUUGUUUUCCCUCCAGGGACUCUGAGUCUAGUGGGGAAGGCAGUCAAAUGCACGGAACUACAACAUCACAGAGGGAUUCUCUUCCAGGCCUGUGGGCACAAGCUGGGAUGUCCCAAAGGGUUUUGCUAUUCAGUUCAGCCUGACUUUGCGAUCUCUAUGUAGCUGAGCCUGGCCUUGAGCUCAUGGUGAUCCUGCUGCCUCAGCCUCCUAAGUGCUGGGG